rnacentral:misc_RNA from 1 species
GUGCAGUUUAUGUUAUACAGCAGUUGAGACUUGGCUUAAGAAAUAUUGGAAUAAGAAUAACCAAAUCAUACAAAAAGCAGUGUUUAAUAUGAAAAUUGAACUGCAAAUAAAACAUGUAUGUUAUGCUACUAGUACAUUAUGAAGAAAAUAGCUCUCCUUCUCUUUGCCGCCGUGGUGCUUUGCUCACUCACAUCGAGCUACGGCCAAUACGAGGGCUAUCAUGGAGCAGGCAGGUACGGGUACCGCGGGUACCGCGGUGGGUACGGCGGGUACCGCGGUGGGUACCGCGGCGGGUACCUCGGCGGGUACCGCGGCGGGUACCGCGGUGGGUACCGCGGUGGGUACCGCGGCGGGUACCGCGGUGGGUACCGCGGCGGGUACCGCGGUGGGUACGGCGGGUACCGCGGUGGGUACCGCGGCGGGUACCGCGGUGGGUACGGCGGGUACCGCAGACAUUAUGAUUGAAGACAUUUUCCUCGACCUUAUUACCGGAGAGGAUAUCGUCCCUAUUAUUGACGAUCAUAUUAUCACAGGAGACGUUUUACAUAUUACUAGAUUCUGCUACCAAAAAAACCCCGAAAAACAUGAAGAUACUUUGAGGAUAUGUAAUGUAAUAAAAUGGAGUGAAAAUUAAAUAUAAUGCAGUACUACAUUCGUUUGUUACGUUCAAACUAAAGAUGUUAAUAAAUUACUUGGACUUCCAUUGCACUUAUAAUAAUAAUAAUACGUUAAGUCACCACAUUAUUACAGCAAUAGUAUUGUUUAAAGUCAGUCAAUUAAAUGUUGAGUCAGAUAAUUUAUUAUUUGUAUACAAAUCGAAUUUUAUAUGUUUAUCAAAGAAUAAAAUAUUUGCUAUUUCA